GGAGUAGAAAUAUCCGUUUGCCGCUACCGUUCACUGACUGCUUGCCAGAAAGAGGACCUGUUUUUGACAGUAUGUUGCCAGGAAUAAAAGCGAUGUGCAUCAAAGGCAUCAGACCUAAGGAAUUGGUACUGCGCGCAAGUCUAAAAUUCCGUCGGCAUUUUAUUAUAAUAUCACCGACAACGCCAUAUACCAGAAGUUUGAACGAAAGCUGAACUCUGUAAAUAGGUAAAGACUCGACUUUAUGUCAGACAAUGCAAUAUUCGAAAGAAUGAAAUCUGUUGAAAUGUGAAAGCAAGAAUUUCGGGACGGCUUACCUCGGCUCGAUCCUAUCGAUAGCAAUUUGAACGAUCGUUCAGACGAAUGCAACUUCUCCCCGCUAUCGUGUCAAAGGCGAUUCGCGUCAUAAGCGAUUUGUUGCCGCAACUUGUCUAUACGAAAUAAUAGCGAAUAUUUGGAAGUCCGGAUAUUUAAGGACACACUGAAUCAUAUCCAGAACUAAAUUAUUCGGCGGACACCGCGCGUCUGUCAAACCACGUGGGCCACGGCCAUGAGGAGCUACGCGGCGCGGAUCGAUCAAGAGCGGACAAGAAGGGACCGCUUGAGUCAGGGGUCCAUUCGGAGGCGCCGUGUCGGUCGAGAGCAAGCACGAAAAUAGACGUACCACAUGG
rnacentral:lncRNA from 13 species